CAAAGUUAAGGUUUAAAAAUGCAACAACAAGGUGAUACAACUCAAUCCGAUCAGACCCGAUUCUCCGCUAGGGGUGAAUUUCCUAAUGCAAUUUCCUUUACAAUCAUAUCUCAUUCCUUUUUCACAUUCGUUCAUUUUUCACAUUUCACUUCUCUUUUUUUUUUUUUUUUUUUUUUUUGGGGUCAAGUUAUUUUCGCUCUUAAUAGAUGGGCCAUAAUUCACGAGAUUGAACUU
rnacentral:lncRNA from 1 species